AUCUGGACAAAAAGAUGACAACAAAAGUGGACGUAACAAAAACGGGGUCAGAAUUGAAAAAUGAAGCCAAACGCCUCCUCCUCCUUUCUGCCGAUCAGUUUGAAGCUCAAAUAGAGAGCAUACAAAAGAGGAACGAAUC
rnacentral:ribozyme from 1 species